CCCGAAAUAGAGACACUAUGAAGACACUAAUGACGUUCCAUAGCGAAACAUUCUGUUGACUUGUGCAAAAACCAGCAAACGUGGUUAACUGCAAUUUCUGUGUAUGUGUGUGAACACGAAUGUUUGGUGGUCUACAGUUUAAUAAAGUGUUGUUUGUUAAAACCAACAAUUUCAGUUAAGGCAUAUCGAAGCAACAAGUACAACAUUUUAGUGGCAUGGAUUCAUCAUGGAAAAAGUCUGUUUGCCAAGCUGCUGCACAACACCAGAAGCAUAAGGAUAAAACAUAUACGUAUGGAACGGCAGGUUUUCGAACCAAAGCUGAUCUGCUCGAUUCAGUAAUGUUUCGUUGUGGUGUACUAGCUGUUCUCCGGUCAAAGAAAACUAAAU